rnacentral:rRNA from 1 species
CCUACGGGGGGCAGCAGUGAGGAAUAUUGGUCAAUGGGCGGAAGCCUGAACCAGCCAAGUAGCGUGCGGGAUGAAGGCCCUACGGGUCGUAAACCGCUUUUGCACGGGGAUAACACCCUCCACUUGUGGAGGUCUGCAGGUACCGUGCGAAUAAGGGCCGGCUAAUUCCGUGCCAGCAGCCGCGGUAAUACGGAAGGCCCGAGCGUUAUCCGGAUUUAUUGGGUUUAAAGGGUGCGUAGGCGGGCAUUUAAGCCGGCGGUCAAAUGUCGGGGCUCAACCCCGGCCUGCCGUCGGAACUGGGUGCCUUGAGUGGGCGAGAAGUAUGCGGAAUGCGUGGUGUAGCGGUGAAAUGCAUAGAUAUCACGCAGAACCCCGAUUGCGAAGGCAGCAUACCGGCGCCCUACUGACGCUGAGGCACGAAAGUGCGGGUAUCGAACAGGAUUAGAUACCCGUGUAGUC